rnacentral:rRNA from 1 species
CAGUCGCCGCGGUAAUACGUAGGUGGCAAGCGUUGUCCGGAAUUAUUGGGCGUAAAGGGCUCGCAGGCGGUUUCUUAAGUCUGAUGUGAAAGCCCCCGGCUCAACCGGGGAGGGUCAUUGGAAACUGGGAAACUUGAGUGCAGAAGAGGAGAGUGGAAUUCCACGUGUAGCGGUGAAAUGCGUAGAGAUGUGGAGGAACACCAAUGGCGAAGGCGACUCUCUGGUCUGUAACUGACGCUGAGGAGCGAAAGCGUGGGGAGCAAACAGGAUUAGAUACCCCGGUAGUCCCUGUCUCUUAUAC